rnacentral:misc_RNA from 1 species
CUUGGGACGUAAAGUCCUUCCAUGUGUUAGGCUUCGGUGAGGAUGAGAUUCUAGAUUCCAUAAAGGAAGAGAAUUUAAUAGGAAAAGGAGGUUCUGGAAACGUGUACAAAGUAGCACUUGCCAAUGGUAAAGAACUUGCUGUGAAACAUAUUUUGAAUACAGAUUCCUGUGGCCGGAAAAAGAGCUGGAGCACGACACCGAUGCUUGCUAGACGGGGAGGAAAAUCUAAAGAAUUUGAUGCUGAGGUGCAUACCUUGAGCUCAACAAGGCAUGUCAAUGUGGUGAAGCUGUAUUGUAGCAUUACCAGUGAGGAUUCUAGCCUGUUGGUUUACGAGUAUAUGCCUAAUGGUAGCUUAUGGGAUCGUCUGCAUACUUCAACGAAGAUGGAGCUUGAAUGGGAGACGAGGUAUGAGAUCGCUUUGGGAGCAGCUAAGGGACUAGAGUAUCUGCAUCAUGGAUGCGACAGACCCAUAAUUCACAGAGAUGUGAAGUCCAGUAAUAUUUUGUUGGAUGAGUUUUUGAAGCCUAGGAUAGCUGAUUUUGGGCUGGCCAAGAUUGUUCAAGCCAAUGGAGGCAAAGACUCCACCCAUGUCAUUGCUGGUACCCAUGGUUAUAUAGCUCCAGAAUAUGGAUACACAUACAAAGUCAGUGAGAAGAGUGAUGUUUACAGCUUUGGAGUGGUACUAAUGGAGUUGGUGAGUGGAAAGAGGCCAAUAGAGCCAGAGUUUGGAGACAACAAAGACAUAGUAGAUUGGGUCUCCAGCAACUUGAAGAGUAAAGAGAGAGUGUUAAGCAUAGUAGACUCCAGAAUUCCAGAAUUUUUCAAGGAAGAUGUUGUCAAGGUAUUGAGAAUUGCAAUUCUCUGCACUGAGCGGCUUCCAUCACUAAGACCCACCAUGAGAAGUGUAGUUCAAAUGCUAAGAGAAGCUGAACCUUGUAAGCUGGCGGGUAUUGUCAUUAGUAAAGAUGGUGCUAGCAAGAAAAAGGAAGUGACAGAUAAGGGGAAGUUCAGUCCUGGCGUUUAAGUGUCUCCAACUGGUAUUUCUUGGAAAAAAAAGAAUCCAACUUGAACAUGUACUAUAUGUAGUGCAAUAUAUUAGCCAAUUUGUAAUUUUGAUGCAGAAAGCCAGUGCUCUCUUGUGUUAUUUUAAACAACUGAAGGCGAAAGAGAUCCCAAAA